rnacentral:rRNA from 1 species
UACGGAAGGGGCAAGCGUUGUUCGGAAUCAUUGGGCGUAAAGGGCGUGUAGGUGGUUCUGUAUGUCUACCGUGAAAGCGUACGGCUCAACCGUAUUUUGUCGGUAGAAACUGCAGGACUUGAGGCUGGGAGGGGCUGGUGGAAUCCCUGUGUAGCGGUGAAAUGCGUAGAGAUGGGGGAGAACACUCGUGGCGAAGGCGGCCAGCUAGACCAGUUCUGACACUGAGGCGCGACAGCGUGGGGAGCAAACAGG